rnacentral:tRNA from 1 species
UCCUGGGUGGUGUAAAUAGUUAACAUACUUGACUGCUAACCAAAAGGUUGGAGGUCUGAGCCCACCCACAGGAG